GGAGAACGAUUGGCAGUUUUUUAAAGGUGGCUUACUGUCUUUUUUUAUUUUUUUAUUUUUUAUUUAUUUACGAUUUUAAAAAAGGGAGAAGGUGAUACCAUUGCGAAUUUUAUUUAUUUUUUUAGCCCUAAUAAAGUGACGCGUUUCAAAGGAUGGAGAUAUUUUCCCAUUCGAGCCCUAUGAGUUAUUCGCGCCUUUUAAUUGGGCCUUCAUUUUUU
rnacentral:lncRNA from 1 species